rnacentral:rRNA from 1 species
GAUGAACGCUAGCGGCAGGCUUAACACAUGCAAGUCGAGGGGCAGCAUUCCAGCAAUGGAGAUGGCGACCGGCAAACGGGUGCGGAACACGUACGCAACAUACCCUUGUCUGGGGCAUAGCCCGAAGAAAUUCGGAUUAACACCCCAUAAGAUAAUAGAGUGGCAUCACUUAGUUAUUAAAAAUUUAUUGGACAGGGAUU